UACAGAGGGGGCAAGCGUUGUUCGGAAUUACUGGGCGUAAAGGGCGCGUAGGCGGCCUUCUAAGUCGAACGUGAAAUCCCCGGGCUCAACCCGGGAACUGCGUCCGAUACUGGAAGGCUUGAAUCCGGGAGAGGGAUGCGGAAUUCCAGGUGUAGCGGUGAAAUGCGUAGAUAUCUGGAGGAACACCGGUGGCGAAGGCAGCUCGCUGGGACGGUACUGACGCUGAGACGCGAAAGCGUGGGGAGCAAACAGG
rnacentral:rRNA from 1 species